UACGGAGGGUGCAAGCGUUGUUCGGAAUCAUUGGGCGUAAAGCGCGUGUAGGCGGCUUGGCAAGUCGGUUGUGAAAGCCCGGGGCCCAACCCCGGAAUUGCAUCUGAAACUGCCUGGCUGGAGUCCCGGAGAGGAAGGCAGAAUUCCCGGUGUAGGGGUGAAAUCCGUAGAUAUCGGGAGGAAUACCAGCGGCGAAGGCGGCCUUCUGGACGGUGACUGACGCUGAGACGCGAAAGCGUGGGGAGCAAACAGG
rnacentral:rRNA from 1 species